rnacentral:tRNA from 1 species
AUUUAUAUAGUAUAAUUUUCAAUACAAUUGAUUUCCAAUCAAAUAAUUUAAAUAUUUAAUAUAAAUA